AUUGAACGCUGGCGGCAGGCCUAACACAUGCAAGUCGAGCGGGGUUUUCGGACCUAGCGGCGGACGGGUGAGUAAUGCGUAGGAAGCUACCCGAUAGAGGGGGAUACCAGUUGGAAACGACUGUUAAUACCGCAUAAUGUCUACGGACCAAAGUGUGGGACCUUCGGGCCACAUGCAAUCGGAUGUGCCUACGUGGGAUUAGCUAGUUGGUGAGGUAAUGGCUCACCAAGGCGACGAUCCCUAGCUGGUUUGAGAGGAUGAUCAGCCACACUGGAACUGAGACACGGUCCAGACUCCUACGGGAGGCAGCAGUGGGGAAUAUUGGACAAUGGGCGCAAGCCUGAUCCAGCCAUGCCGCGUGUGUGAAGAAGGCCUUCGGGUUGUAAAGCACUUUCAGUAAGGAGGAAGCGUUGAGUGUUAAUAGUACUCAGCGUUGACGUUACUUACAGAAGAAGCACCGGCUAACUUCGUGCCAGCCGCCGCCGUAAUAC
rnacentral:rRNA from 1 species